rnacentral:rRNA from 1 species
AUAAUGGGUCAGCGACUUAUAUUCUGUAGCAAGGUUAACCGAAUAGGGGAGCCGAAGGGAAACCGAGUCUUAACUGGGCGUUAAGUUGCAGGGUAUAGACCCGAAACCCGGUGAUCUAGCCAUGGGCAGGUUGAAGGUUGGGUAACACUAACUGGAGGACCGAACCGACUAAUGUUGAAAAAUUAGCGGAUGACUUGUGGCUGGGGGUGAAAGGCCAAUCAAACCGGGAGAUAGCUGGUUCUCCCCGAAAGCUAUUUAGGUAGCGCCUCGUGAAUUCAUCUCCGGGGGUAGAGCACUGUUUCGGCAAGGGGGUCAUCCCGACUUACCAACCCGAUGCAAACUGCGAAUACCGGAGAAUGUUAUCACGGGAGACACACGGCGGGUGCUAACGUCCGUCGUGAAGAGGGAAACAACCCAGACCGCCAGCUAAGGUCCCAAAGUCAUGGUUAAGUGGGAAACGAUGUGGGAAGGCCCAGACAGCCAGGAUGUUGGCUUAGAAGCAGCCAUCAUUUAAAGAAAGCGUAAUAGCUCACUGGUCGAGUCGGCCUGCGCGGAAGAUGUAACGGGGCUAAACCAUGCACCGAAGCUGCGGCAGCGACGCUUAUGCGUUGUUGGGUAGGGGAGCGUUCUGUAAGCCUGUGAAGGUGUACUGUGAGGUAUGCUGGAGGUAUCAGAAGUGCGAAUGCUGACAUAAGUAACGAUAAAGCGGGUGAAAAGCCCGCUCGCCGGAAGACCAAGGGUUCCUGUCCAACGUUAAUCGGGGCAGGGUGAGUCGACCCCUAAGGCGAGGCCGAAAGGCGUAGUCGAUGGGAAACAGGUUAAUAUUCCUGUACUUGGUGUUACUGCGAAGGGGGGACGGAGAAGGCUAUGUUGGCCGGGCGACGGUUGUCCCGGUUUAAGCGUGUAGGCUGGUUUUCCAGGCAAAUCCGGAAAAUCAAGGCUGAGGCGUGAUGACGAGGCACUACGGUGCUGAAGCAACAAAUGCCCUGCUUCCAGGAAAAGCCUCUAAGCAUCAGGUAACAUCAAAUCGUACCCCAAACCGACACAGG